UUCGGAGGGUGCUAACGUUGUUCGGAAUCACUGGGCUUAAAGGGCACGUAGGCGGCCGGCUCAGUCAGAUGUGAAAUCCCUCGGCUCAACCGAGGAAUGGCGUCUGAUACUGGCCGGCUUGAGUGGAGGAGGGGAGAGCGGAACUUCUGGUGUAGCGGUGAAAUGCGUAGAUAUCAGAAGGAACGCCGGUGGCGAAAGCGGCUCUCUGGCCUCUUACUGACGCUGAGGUGCGAAAGCCAGGGGAGCGAACGGGAUUAGAUACCCGCGUA
rnacentral:rRNA from 1 species